GAGCCAGAAUUCAGGCGUUCCCGGCCCGCGGACGCUUAGAGAGGGGAGCUUCGGAGUUAUGGGGGGACCCACCCUUCCAUUUAAUAACUGAGAAAGCCACGGGAGGGGACUUGCUGGGCUCACAGCCAGUGAUCCCUGCCCUGUUUCCUUAUGGGGACUGCGGUCAGAAAUGGGGAGUGGGGCAGAAACUGUCACUGUCACGGUCCUGUUUAGAGAGGAAGGUCGGAGAAACCAGUGCCGUGGAAGGCUCUGGGGCGUUGACAGGCGCUGUCCCCAGCUCACCGGCUCUAUGACCCUGGAAGAAUGGAAACUUCGUCAGAGCAGGGACGUGAGGGUGAACUGCUCACCCGGGCACCGCUGGCGACCGGAACCCAGCUCCCUCCGGGCUCCGGGAGAGGCGGCCUCAGCUGUGUGCUGGUGCUGCCCUCCAGCGGCGCUGGGUCCCCAUGGCACCUGGCUUUCUCCUGCUCCCCAGGGGCCUUUUCUUCUCCCGCCCACCUGUCACCAGCCGCCAGGGCAAGUCUCUGUGUGACUCUAGGGUGAAGGUGGAGGGACCUUGCCUCCGAGGAUUCAUCCCACCCGGAUUCCGAUGAGUGAGGGACCCUCUCUGGCACCUGGUGUUUGAAUGGCCAGCCUCACAGUUAAUAAAGACAAGUUUGGUAUCAGCUGUGGGAUCCGUCCAGAAAAAGACACCUUUGGGGCAGAAAUAUAAUGGUGCCUGUCUCGACAUAGUCUAAUAAGGAAAGAAAGACAAGCCAGUCCAACGGUCCCAUUUUACACAUGAGGUCACUUCAUCCCCACCUAGGACAGGAGGGUACAACGGCCUGGCCUAAGAUAACCCUAGAAUAUGGUCACUCAUUCUUCCACCCACUGAGAACCUCAGGGCAGUAGAGUUUUAUGCAAAGCAUGUGGUCCUGAAAAACUUGCAUAAUUCAAAGCGUGCAUAAUUUCUGACUAAUUUUGCCAGAGAAAUGAAUGCAAAGUAGAAAGGAUAGGUUGCAUACAUUACUCCAAUUGUGGCAUAUUUUUGCCUUAAUGCUGCUUUUUAUUUCCCUGGCAUUAUCGCUAAUAUUUCAUAACGCACUCUCUGCUAAAUUAACAGUGCAGCAUUUCCUGCCGGUGGUUUGGCCUUCUUCAUAACGUUUUAUCACAUCUCACUUCCUUUCCAAUGUUAUCGAUUUUCAGGUGCGUUUUUCAGCACCACCACUUAAAGAACACUUGGAUGACAUUGUUACAGGAUAUGGGUAAAAUAUUUAAAGUUAUAAUAACUGUGAACAUUGAGAAAAUGGCACACCAGUCACCAGAAUCUCCUGCAGAAAUUAGAAAUUCAGAGGCAUGUAAACAACAGUGCAUGCAUAUAGAAAGCAGGUAUUUCUAUUUAAUAACCAAAGCAACGUCGCCAUGUGGCAGGUUUACAGUCCUCAUUUAACAGCUCACUUAGUUCCUCCGACUCAAGGAAACUGCAAUUCUUGACAGGUUUUUUUUUAACUGAGGGGCUUGGCAUUAUUUCCAGCUUAGUGCAUAAACAUGUAUUAGCAUUUUUAUAUUGCACCUUGCCAAAGUCACAGUUUAGACUCCCAUAAACAGUGACUUCACCCUAAA
ensembl:lncRNA LINC02716 long intergenic non-protein coding RNA 2716